CAUGGGCCCAGUUAAUUACAGUUGACACAUUGCGAUAUAUAGGAGUUGCUCCUGCCUGCCUGUGUGAACAGGCUAUCUUUAAGUUUGCCCCAAGAGCUGUGACUCUGGACUCUGAGAUAGACGGGAUGGAAUCAGUAAACAGUAAUGCAGACCUCAUAAAGAACGUGUGGGAGAUCAGGUUCAGAGACCAGGUCCAGAAGCAGCAGCUUGAAGGAGUGCGGGCGGAGCAAAGUGCCCUGGAGAAGAUCAAUCGAGAAUGGCAGAACCGUAUGGGCAACAAAUACAAGCCUCAAAGGAGGCAGGAGAAGAAGCCUCCAGUAUCUGAAAGUGCACCACCAAGACCUAGAAUUUCAGUGAGCAAAACAAGGUCACCAGAAACCGAUAACGGGCCCAGUGGCUUCCCAGAAGGGUCACAAGCUAUCCUUCCUGAAAAGCUCCCAUCCUAGUGGAUCAGUAUGGUCAACAUCUUGGAAGUUAUCCAAGGCACCAGGAGAAGGUUCAAACAAACCAGAGGGUUCUGAGUGAGGAAAGUCAUGGAAAUGCUUGAAUUUUCAACCACAGCUUGAUGGCCAAGCUUGGAUUGAGCAAGAGUGCACCAAUGGUGAGCAGAGGGAGGUAAACUUGUAGGGGAAAACGGAUAGGCCUAUUGAUAAAUUGCCAUCUUUGGAGAAUAAGUUGUGAUCAGAGUGGGAGAAAAAUCUGAGGGGAAGAAAAUGGAGGGUGCAACCAACGGGCCCAUGUCUGGAUGGGCGGAUGCUUGGAAGAUCUCAAAACCAGUUGAGAACCAUGAUGAGUCUUCAGAAACAUCAGGCGGUGUAAUGGAUAGUGCACCACUAGACCCCAAUGUUUAUGGCGUGAUAAUACCGGUAUGCAGGCCUGAGAAAUAUAAAUUAGGGAGUGCCCAGUUCUGUGAGGGAAAUAACCCCAUGGCUGAAUGGGGAAAGUCUUGGGAGGUUGCUAAAAACAUGUGGAUUCUAGAAAGUGUGAAACUCAAAAAGAAAGUGGAACCCAAGGGAGAGGAAAAGAAAGAUGAGGGAAUUAAGGUAGAAGAGAGUGAACCUGAUAACGGAUUGCCUAAAAGGCUCAAGCCCAAAUAUAGAUUGGAAAUUCGGCAAAAUCAUAUCAAUCCUCUUUCAAAAUGUGACCUUUCUUAUGAGUGGAAUGAGGCUUGGAAACUCCCCAGAUCUCAGCCUAAGAAAGACCAUAGGGCAAAGCAAGAUGCUGCUGUACUGAAUGGUCCAAUGAUCCUCCAACCCCAUUUGAAGAAAAGAUGUCUGGCAGAUUGGAAGGAAUCUUGGAAAUGCUCAAGGUCCUGGCCCAGUUUCGGCAAGCCCUCAGCCACUGAGUGGAAAGAUUCAAGCUUAUUUGGUUAUGAGCUCAGAACAGGCAGAGAACAGUGGAUGAGGGAGUUAGGCAUUGAGAAAAAACAGGACAAAUAUGAAGUCUUCUCUCCUCCUAAAAGGGGCAUAAAAGCAGAGAUGCUGGAUUCCAUUGGCACAGAAGAGAAGUAUACUCAGUCUUUGAAGCAUCAGAUCAGAACUGAGGUAGUCAGAACUAGGCCCAAUAGAUCAAGGCAAUUUAGAGAGCCUGAAAAAGGAGAAACACCUGCGUCUGAGUGGGCCACAGCAUGGAAAUGCACAAAUGGUACACUGAACCAGGACAGCAGUCUUUGGGAUCAAGGCUGGUCCUCAACUGAAAAUGUCAGACAAGACAAAACCCUCCAUCGUGUGCCAAAAGUGGGGCAGUUUAGCAGAUCUUUCAACCCUGAUGUGUUUAAGGAGAGAGUUCCUCCAUCAGAAUGGAUGGAAUCGUGGAGAGUGGCAACCCUUCAGAGACACCACAAAAGAUUCAUUUUUAAAAGUAAAUCUCACUAUUUUGCCUCUCUUCUUGAGGCAGAAGAGGUUCCACCUUGGGCCAGAACCUGGAAGUUCAUGAAUCUUCUCCCUCGUCAGAACAAGCCACUCUGGGACAAGGGUUGGGAAACCUUUGAAGUGGAAAAGCAGCCUCCAUUUCCUGAAUAUGUUCCCUUCUCAGUACCACAGUCAGAAUGGAGAAUGUCAUGGAAGGUUUGUGUCCCUCAGCCUCUGGAGUGGGAUGACACUCCAAAAGUAUUCCAUCGUAAAGAUAAAGUGCUGUGGUCAAGAAAAAUCCAGAAAAAUCCAGAAAAAUCCAGUCCACAACCGAAGAGGUGGGCAGAUGCUGCGAAACUAACCAAAACCCAACCCCGGGCAAGGAGAGGCCCCACCAGAGGAGCCAAAGGCAAAACAGAUUCAAUGAGUUCAAUGGAAAAAACAUCUUUGUCUGAGUGGGGUAACUCCUGGAAGUUCCUGCUGGCGCCAUACCCUACUGAAAAGAAAUCCCGGAAAGUUAAAAUGGCUGAGAGAGUUGAAGUGACUGUCAUUGACAACAAGCAGCUGCGCGACAGAUGGGAGGAUCGUGCCAAUGCCUUCAGCGAGAAAGCGAUAUUUGAGCGCAAACGAGUGAAGAAAAGUGCCCUUAAUGGCUGGAGGAAUGUAGUGCAAUAGCUAAGUCAUCAGUUUCUUCACCAAAUGCACCUGUUUAACCGGUGAAGCAAGACUUGAGCAAUGCCAAGGUCACAGAUUCAUUUCCUAGUGAGGACAUCAGUGCCAAAACUCCAGAGGAAAGCUACUGCCAAGAAAAUGUUUGCUUGUUUUCAUCACAUUCCAAGUGUCUGGGAAAAAAUGUAUUCGGACUUCAUUAAACACGAGCCUUUAAAACAUUUAAAAAAAAAAUACUAAACAUAUGACAAAUAACAAUUCAGUGUAUUCCAGUAUUUGUUUGAUAUAUUUCAUAUUCUACAGAAAACUCUAGCGUAUCUUAUCAUCAAUCAUGUGGAUGAGGUCCAAACAAUACAGGCUUCUUCGGCCCCUUUCGUGGUGGCAUCAGCCAUCAUGCCAGUAAAGGUUUAGUACCUGAGAGUGAAUAUUAGAGAGGGAAGUGAAGUCCAUUGUGGAGCCCAUAUUUGGAGCUGGUUUAGCCUGAACUCUGCUUCUUGUCCCCAUUACUCACCUGUGACAAAUGGGCCUGUCCUGGCAGAUGUUUGCCAGCUGGCCAAGGCUCCUCUGAUAGAAUAAAUGGCCUCCUGUCACCCA
ensembl:lncRNA